rnacentral:rRNA from 1 species
UACGGAGGGUGCGAGCGGUGUCCGGAAUCACUGGGCGUAAAGGGUGCGUAGGCGGCGCGGUAAGUCGGGUGUGAAAUCUUGGAGCUUAACUCCGAAACUGCAUUCGAUACUGCCGUGCUUGAGGACUGGAGAGGAGACUGGAAUUUACGGUGUAGCGGUGAAAUGCGUAGAUAUCGUAAGGAAGACCAGUGGCGAAGGCGGGUCUCUGGACAGUUCCUGACGCUGAGGCACGAAGGCCAGGGGAGCAAACGGG